GUUAAACAAUCUAUAGAAAUAGUCAUCUUCUGGUAUACGAAUCUCGUUGCAAUAUGGAUUCUUCAGAUGUGGAGGACGAGAACAACAUUCUUCUGGAUCAUUACGAUUUAGUGGAUCUAGAAAAGAGCGACCAUGGAAACAGAGACACCAAUUGCUCUCCUCGUAGAAUAAUCUUGUCGCAGUGAUCGUUCUCGCUUUCUCUAGUAGUUAUCCUUCUUUCGAUAUAAGGCAAAUAUAUUCGACAUGGAAGGGUUUAAAACCUACUGUGUUGCUACACGCGUACACCUGACUGACUUCUUAACGUCUAAUUGGAACACAAGGCUAUCACCAUGACAGUACCAGCGUGAUCGUGAUAUCCCUCAUCUGGAUGCAUCGUACGGGAUACUAUUCUAGACAAGGGUAAUUCUCGUCCACUUACGGCUAUCCUAGGUGCUGAUAUACCAUCGGAGAAUCGUGGUGGCAUCAAUCUAAAAGAAAAGAGAAACAGAAAAAACAAUUAAAAAACCACACGUAAAAAAAAGUAAUAUAUAUACCGGUAAGACAAAAAAGAUCUUUUUCAAAAGAAACAUCAAAAAACAAAAAAAUGAAUACUAGAUAUUAUUAUCGUAUAUGUUCACCUGGUGAACGGCGACAGAGUUGAACCCCAAGUUGGAUUUUGUAAAUUCGUACAGAGUC